AAGCCGUUCUCAUACGGAUCGGAGUCUGCAACCCGACUCCGUGAAGCUGGAUUCGCUAGUAAUCGCGCAUCAGCCAUGGCGCGGUGAAUACGUUCCCGGGCCUUGUACACACCGCCCGUCAAGCCAUGGAAGCCGGGGGCGCUUGAAGUGCGUUGCCGCAAGGCGCGCCCUAGAGCGAAACCGGUGACUGGGGCUAAGUCGUAACAAGGUAAC
rnacentral:rRNA from 1 species